AACGAACGCUGGCGGCAGGCCUAACACAUGCAAGUCGAGCGAGGACUUCGGUUCUAGCGGCGGACGGGUUAGUAACGCGUGGGAAUGUGCCCUUCUCUACGGAAUAGCCCUGGGAAACUGGGAGUAAUACCGUAUACGCCCUAUUGGGGAAAGAUUUAUCGGAGAAGGAUCAGCCCGCGUUGGAUUAGGUAGUUGGUGGGGUAAUGGCCUACCAAGCCGACGAUCCAUAGCUGGUUUGAGAGGAUGAUCAGCCACACUGGGACUGAGACACGGCCCAGACUCCUACGGGAGGCAGCAGUGGGGAAUCUUAGACAAUGGGGGCAACCCUGAUCUAGCCAUGCCGCGUGAGUGAUGAAGGCCUUAGGGUUGUAAAGCUCUUUCAGCUGGGAAGAUAAUGACGGUACCAGCAGAAGAAGCCCCGGCUAACUCCGUG
rnacentral:rRNA from 1 species